GACGAACGCUGGCGGCGUGCCUAAUACAUGCAAGUCGAGCGCAGGAAACUGACGGAACUCUUCGGAGGGAAGGCAGUGGAAUGAGCGGCGGACGGGUGAGUAACACGUAAGGAACCUGCCUCAAGGAUUGGGAUAACUCCGAGAAAUCGGAGCUAAUACCGGAUAGUUCAACGGACCGCAUGGUCCGCUGAUGAAAGGCGCUCCGGCGUCACCUUGAGAUGGCCUUGCGGUGCAUUAGCUAGUUGGUGGGGUAACGGCCCACCAAGGCGACGAUGCGUAGCCGACCUGAGAGGGGGAUCGGCCACACUGGGACUGAGACACGGCCCAGACUCCUACGGGAGGCAGCAGUAGGGAAUCUUCCACAAUGGACGAAAGUCUGAUGGAGCAACGCCGCGUGAGUGAUGAAGGUUUUCGGAUCGUAAAACUCUGUUGUAAGGGAAGAACACGUACGAGAGGGAAUGCUCGUACCUUGACGGUACCUUACGAGAAAGCCACGGCUAACUACGUGCCAGCCGCCGCGGUAAGAC
rnacentral:rRNA from 1 species